UACGUAGGGGGCUAGCGUUGUCCGGAAUCAUUGGGCGUAAAGCGCGCGUAGGCGGCCCGGUAAGUCCGCUGUGAAAGUCCAGGGCUCAACCCUGGAAAGCCGGUGGAUACUGCCGGGCUAGAGUCCGGAAGAGGAGAAUGGAAUUCCCGGUGUAGCGGUGAAAUGCGCAGAUAUCGGGAAGAACACCCGUGGCGAAGGCGGUUCUCUGGGACGGUACUGACGCUGAGACGCGAAAGCGUGGGGAGCGAACAGG
rnacentral:rRNA from 1 species